CAACAGCCUGUACCCAUGGAGGCUGGAUGAUCAGGGGAAAUGGGUUGGUUCUCAAUGCUCAAGGGGAUCCUGAUGGUGCCAAGAAUUCGGGUUUUCCUAUACCUGCAACCUUGGCAAACACAACCCCACCAAAGAUGGGAUUAUGGGAUCAAAGUUAACAUCAGAGGUGAUGGGACAGAUCAGCACAGCGAACCAUGGGAUGGAAUGUGAGGGGCGACCUCAUGUACUCUGGAAGGAAAUGCAACGAAGAAAACACCAUAGCUUGUGCAAUAUUCCUGCUCGAGAUGUAUAACCCAAAUCCAACCCGAGGACACUGUGAACCAACUGACUGAGGGGUAUUUUGAAAAGUAAGUGGCCUGUAACCAGUUCAAGGAGGGACUGAGGAAAGACUGCACAGGGCAGAAGGCUGAUGAGACAAUAUUAGGACAGUUGAGUAAAUAGGAAUGAGGUCUCUAGGCAAAGAGGAGUAGGAAUUCUUUGUACCACUCUUGUAACUUUCCUGUCACUUUGAAAUUAGUU